rnacentral:snRNA from 1 species
AUCUUUGUGCAGAGGCGAUAUCGUAGCCAGUGAGGUUAAUCCGAGGCGCGAUUAUUGCUAGUUGAAAACUUUAACCAAUACCCCGCCCUGAGGUCUUUGUAAGACCGCGGAGGCAAUUUUUGUGGCCUUUACGAAGG